rnacentral:rRNA from 1 species
UACAGAGGGUGCAAGCGUUGUUCGGAAUUAUUGGGCGUAAAGGGCGCGUAGGCGGUGCGGUAAGUCACCUGUGAAACCUCUGGGCUUAACUCAGAGCCUGCAGGCGAAACUGCCGUGCUUGAGUGUGGGAGAGGUGCGUGGAACUCCCGGUGUAGCGGUGAAAUGCGUAGAUAUCGGGAGGAACACCUGUGGCGAAAGCGGCGCACUGGACCACAACUGACGCUGAGGCGCGAAAGCUAGGGGAGCAAACAGG